GGAGUAGGAAAUAAUCUAAUUUUUGACUUCUAAUCAAUUAAUUAAAGUGCUUUAUUUACACUUCUACUUCU
rnacentral:tRNA from 1 species